CUCCUCCUACUACUAACACUACUACUAACACUACUCCUAAUACUACCAUUACUACUACUAAUACUCCUCCUACUCCUAUUACUACUAACACUACUCCUAAUACUCCUCCUACUACUACUCAUUAUUAUUUAUUACUAUUACUAACACUACUCCUAUUAAUACUCCUCCUCCUACUAAUACUUCUAAUACUCCUCCUACUACUAACACUACUCCUAAUACUCCCAUUAAUACUCCUCCUACUACUAAUACUUCUCCUAAUACUCCUACUACUAACACUACUCCUAAUACUCCUCCUACUACUAACACUACUACUAACACUACUCCUAAUACUCCUCCUACUACUAACACUACUCCUAAUACUCCUCCUACUACUACUAACACUACUACUAAUACUACUCCUAAUACUCCUCCUACUACUAACACUACUACUAACACUACUCCUAAUACUCCUCCUACUACUAACACUACUACUAACACUACUCCUAAUACUCCUCCUACUACUAACACUACUACUAACACUACUCCUAAUACUCCUCCUACUACUAACACUACUCCUAAUACUCCUCCUACUCCUAAUACUACCAUUACUACUACUAAUACUCCUCCUACUCCUAUUACUACUAACACUACUCCUAAUACUCCUCCUACUACUACUCAUUAUUUAUUACUACUACUAUUACUAACACUACUCCUAUUAAUACUCCUCCUCCUACUAAUACUUCUAAUACUCCUCCUACUACUAACACUACUCCUAAUACUCCUACUAAUACUUCUCCUAAUACUCCUCCUACUACUACUCAUUAUUAUUUUUAUUACUACUACUAUUACUAACACUACUCCUAUUAAUGCUCCUCCUACUACUAUUCAUUGAUACUCCUCCUACUACUCCUAUUAAUACUCCUCCUACUACUAACACUACUCCUAAUACUCCUCCUACUACUUCUUCUCCUAAUACUCCUCCUACUACUAACACUACUCCUAAUACUCCUCCUACUACUUCUUCUCCUAAUACUCCUCCUACUCCACCUCCUACUACUAACACUACUCCUAAUACUCCUCCUUCUGCUACUACUCCUAUUAUUACUACUACUAUUACUACUUCUGCUACUACUUCUAUUAUUAUUAUUAUUAUUAUUAUUAUUAUUAUUAUUAAUACUACUAUUACUACAGGUGCAUGUCAAAAAAUUAUAUUGUUAAAGUUCAUUUUGUUCUGAAAUGUAAUUGAAAAAGUGGAACUUUCGUAUUUUCUAUAUUCAUUUGGAAAUCAAGGUUCCAGAGUCUGGAGGACGAGCGGAGAGGAACAGAAUCCAAGUUGCUUGAAGUCCAGUGUGAAGUUUCCACAGUCCGUGAUGAUUUGGGGUGUCGUGUCAUCUGCUGGUGUCGGUCCAGUGUGUUUUCUCAAGUCGAGAGUCGAUGCAGCGUCUACCAGGAGAUCUGAGAUACUUCAUGCUUCCAUCCGCUGACGAGCUUCGUGGAGAUGCCGAUUUCCUUUUCCAGCAGGACUCGGCACCUGCCCACAGUGCCGAAACUUCUAGUAACCGGUUUACUGAUCGUGGUGUUACUGUGGUUGACUGUCCAGCUGACUCGCCUGACCCGAACCCCAGAAAAUCUACGAGAGACACCAGACCCGACGAUACAGACGAGCUGAAGACCGCUCUCAAAGCGACCUGGACUUCAGAACACCUCAGCAGUGCCUCAGGCCGAUCGCCUCCAUGCCACGCCGCACCGACGCGGUCAUUCCUGCAGGAGGAUUAAAACCCCGCCCGAGUAUCAGCGCAUAAAUCACCAUCCUGUUCACAAGGUGGGAGAUGAUUCCUACACCGCUUUAAACCCGUCCCUGAUUCUGGUAAAAUUCUGACUUGCUAAACACACGUCUCCGUCUGUACUUCCUGCUCAGACUUGGUGACUCUGAUCCCCGCACCUCCGCUUUCAGGUAAACUCUGAGUCAUCCUCCUCUGACUCUAAUCCUGUUUUGUUUGUGUGGAGUCGUUUCGGGCCACGCCCGACUUUCCAUGCAAAUGAGCAUGAACGCAGCAGUUGAGCAAUUCACAUCUUGUACCUUAAAACAAAGGUAAAGAGAGAGAGCGAUAUUUAAACUCAGAUUCUCUCCGUUCUACACAAAUUAUACCUCCAAUAUGCAGUUCAAGAUCUUAAGGACCGUCUCGAGUGAUUCCUCGGGGCGUGGCCCGACGUUUCUUCGGUUCCCCUCUCGCGAAUUUAGUUCUGACCUGCUAUUAGUUUGAUGCACAAGAGUAGAAGAAAAGCUCGUAAACGUGGUCUCAUCUCGUCCCGUCAUUCUCGUUAAAGGCGUAGGAAGAAGCGGCAGAGACGGUCUAUUCUUCUCGUACGUAGCCGGACGUGUAACUCAAACAACCGCCGAUUUCUGCGCCAUUUAAUUUGAACUCAUAGCUUUGUUAUAGCGCCCCCUUGUGGAGAGUCUUAAAUCCGGUUCAAAAGCAAGUUUCUGUCCUCUGCAUGGAAAAAUAUCCAUUUGAGCACCCCUCAAAAGUAUUUGAAAAGAGAAAUUAUUUUAACACGAUCAAGAAGUCAUAGCGCAGUUAAGGCAUUAAAGCCGUGUUCCCAUUAGUGUAGGAUUUAUGAUCCCCAAAUACAGAUGGUUAAUUGAAUUAUUAUUAUAUCAAACUGUUUAUGUCCAUCUUAUGACGAGCAUAAAAAUUUCGACCGCAAUCGGUUCAGGACGCGUUACGCAUCUAAAAAUGUCAGUUCCAAAUGAAAUGUGAUAUUGUGGUGUCUAAUUAUCGUCCUGUGACUGCAUCUUGUCACACCCUAUGUUUGACUGUAUAUUGGAGAGAAAUUGUGUGUGCGUGUAGAGUCACUAGACCUGUUCUAUGCAGCACAGGGACUGACUCUGUUAAUAUUUACGCAGGCCGUGAUGGCGAGACAUGCCAGAAAUGCCACACUCCUCUCAGCUCAGGAGUGAGUGACACAUGAUCUCCACCACACACACAAACACCGUGUUCUACAUUCACAACUGCAAAUGACACACACACGCACGUGUGCUCUCAGUAACUUAUUUUGGCGUCUAUGUGCUAAUUUAUUCCUCUGGCUUCCUGACAAGGAGAUAAUUACAGAAAAAAAAAAAGAAGAAACAGACGCUGUCACAUUAUCACGCUUUAGAGACUGAAUCAAGUUCGGAAUGAUCUUCCUGUUACUGCCUUAAUAUCACAAUUACGGGGUAAAAAUGCUUCUUACAGAUUGAUCGUAAUUGUUUGUGUCUCGUUUUGUUCCACCAGGCACAGAUAAGCAGUGAGACAAACCAGCGGGUCGCGUUUAAAGAAAACGUGUUAAUUUCAUCAAGUUGAUGAAUUCGAGUUAGAGUGGGGUUAAGAUUAGGGUUAGCCUACACCAAUGAUGAUAUGCUGUACAUAACCCAGUGCACAAGUCACACGGUGAACAUUUCCAAUCAGAUGUUGCCUUUAUUAAACAUCUUCAUUUCACCCUUCAUUCAUUAAUCACUCUGAAUAUAAACAGACCCUGACACCUUGCUACAUUUGCUUUAUUCUCAGCUAUGUUUGUUGAUUAGACUGGACUAAGGGGAAGUCGCUGAGGAUGCACAAACUGAGUAUUGGACCAGCGUGGACAUCAGG